UGAUUCCCCUAGUAACGGCGAGUGAACAGGGAAAAGCUCAAAGUUGGAACCUCCUGGCCCUAGGCCUGGCGGAUUGUAAACUAAAGCUUUCGAGUAGUUCGGCUAGCCCGGUAAAUAAGUUCUCUGGAAAGGGACGACAUGGAGGGUGAAAUCCCCGUCUUUGGCCGGAGCAUAGUCCAGCGUUUGCUUGGAAGUGAAGAGUCAGGUUGUUUGGUAUUGCAGCCUAAAGCUGGAGGUAAAUCUCUCCUAAAGCUAAAUAUUGACGAAAGACCGAUAGCGAACAAGUACCGUGAGGGAAAGAUGAAAAGCACUUUGAAAAGAGGGUCAAAAAGUACGUGAAAUUGCUGAAAGGGAACCGUAUGAAAUCAGCUUGACUUUUUGGUAAUCAACCUGGGCUUCGGCCUGGGUGCACUUGCCAGUGAGUUAGCCUGCGACAAUUUGAUUUGGGGGAAAAAAUUAGAGAGAAUGUGGCCUUGACUUCGGUGAAGGUGUUAUAGCUCUUUGAAAAAUACCCUGGAUUGGAUUGAGGACUGCAGCGAGCCUUUUGGGAUGAACUGUGGGCGCUUGGUUACCUAUCAAAGAAAAUCUCUGCUUCGGGUGGUGUUUUUUGAUAGGCGGCCAACUCGCUUACUUUUUCUUUUUCUCGCUUAGGGUCGCAGGCAUAAUGAUUUUAUAUGACC
rnacentral:rRNA from 1 species